rnacentral:misc_RNA from 1 species
CCCUUCCACGUGAACCGUUUUGUUUUGCUUUCGAGUGCUUUGUUGCGCUCGGAGCAUGUUUGGGCUUCGCUGCUGGCGCUUGAUUGUGCUGGCGGCUCGAGGCCAUCAAGCGGCGUUUUGAGUGUGCUUGCGCAAUUGAAACGUCCAAACCUUUUAAACCCAUUUGAUUGCAAACUGAAGUAUACUGUGGGGACGAAAGUCCUCGCUUUGAAACUAGAUAACAACUUUCAGCAGUGGAUGUCUAGGCUCGCACAUCGAUGAAGAACGCUGCGAACUGCGAUACGUAAUGCGAAUUGCAGGAUUCAGUGAGUCAUCGAACUUUUGAACGCAUAUUGCACUUUCGGGUUACGCCUGGAAGUAUGUCUGUAUCAGUGUCCGUACACUAAACUUGCGUCUCUUCCGUCGUGUAGUCGUCGGUUGUUUUGAUUGCAGAUGUGAGGUUGUCUCGCGAUCCGUUGCUUGUCGACAGGGUUGCGAGUCCCUUUAAAGUCGGACGCGUGUU